GGGACACGUGGUAUCCUGUCUGAAUAUGGGGGGACCAUCCUCCAAGGCUAAAUACUCCUGACUGACCGAUAGUGAACCAGUACCGUGAGGGAAAGGCGAAAAGAACCCCGGCGAGGGGAGUGAAAAAGAACCUGAAACCGUGUACGUACAAGCAGUGGGAGCACCUUCGGGUGUGACUGCGUACCUUUUGUAUAAUGGGUCAGCGACUUAUAUUCUGUAGCAAGGUUAACCGUAUAGGGGAGCCGCAGGGAAACCGAGUCUUAACUGGGCGUUAAGUUGCAGGGUAUAGACCCGAAACCCGGUGAUCUAGCCAUGGGCAGGUUGAAGGUUGGGUAACACUAACUGGAGGACCGAACCGACUAAUGUUGAAAAAUUAGCGGAUGACUUGUGGCUGGGGGUGAAAGGCCAAUCAAACCGGGAGAUAGCUGGUUCUCCCCGAAAGCUAUUUAGGUAGCGCCUCGUGAACUCAUCUUCGGGGGUAGAGCACUGUUUCGGCUAGGGGGUCAUCCCGACUUACCAACCCGAUGCAAACUACGAAUACCGAAGAAUGUUAUCACGGGAGACACACGGCGGGUGCUAACGUCCGUCGUGAAGAGGGAAACAACCCAGACCGCCAGCUAAGGUCCCAAAGUCAUGGUUAAGUGGGAAACGAUGUGGGAAGGCACAGACAGCCAGGAUGUUGGCUUAGAAGCAGCCAUCAUUUAAAGAAAGCGUAAUAGCUCACUGGUCGAGUCGGCCUGCGCGGAAGAUGUAACGGGGCUAAACCAUGCACCGAAGCUGCGGCAGCGACACUAUGUGUUGUUGGGUAGGGGAGCGUUCUGUAAGCCUGCGAAGGUGUGCUG
rnacentral:rRNA from 1 species